UCCUGUUCAGUGUCCUGAACUGUUUUGCCUGCCUAUCUGUUUGUUUCUUGUUUUUGUCCAGUAAAGUUCUAUCUGCAAUUGGAUCCUCUCUUGCCUUUCGUUUCACCGUGUCACAUCGUGACAAUAGUAUUCUUUUUUCCCACUACGGAAGUGAAUGGGGCUCAUGAAGGGUUUGGUUACAAACAUUCCCUAAAAUAUCUACGUGUGUGUUCAUCAAAACAAAGAAAUUUAUACAGAUUGCAGAAAACGUGCUGGUGGCAUUGCGACACAACUACAUGGAUGACCAAUACUGGAAACAAGUUUGGCCAAGUCUUGAAUUUUGUCCUGACCACUGGUGAGGGAGCUGGCCUAGAUGAACUGUGUCAAGGCAUAACCCCAGUUCUCAUCUGGUUUCGACCAUGGAAAUUCAAAGUAAGACUUGAUAUUUUUCACUUCAUGAGGCGUUUCACUUUAGGUCUUUAGACAAGGAUGACAUCCAUCAGCUUAAAGAGGCAAAGAAGGCAGAGCUUUUAAAAAUAUGUGGGUGCCAUAUUCCAUCUGAAGCCCAAAUUCUGUCAAGCAUCACCUCCAGUGAGCUGGCCAAAAACUGCAAUAGGAGGACCCGUGGGGAUCCCCGGGGGGGGGGGAUGCCUGGCAGGAGGUCGAUAGCACAGUUAUAAGGUCUAUGAGGUGGCAGGGAAGUGGCAUGAGCUCUACUGAACACUUGGCCCAGAUCAUGGUAUUCAGCAGGUACCAGAGAGAGGUUGAUGGUCCUCCUUGACUAAUGAUGGGCAGGGUGUCAAGGUGGUCAGGCAGUGAGCCUGGCAGUAGAUCCCCCAACUAAGGACCCGGACGCUGGUCCAAUCCAGAUUCUGCAGCCAAGGCAAUCCAAACAUGACGGGGGCAUGGGGUGAGGGAAUAACAAGGAAGGAGAUCCACUCUGUGUGUUCAUUGGCUAUGGACACCAGCAGGGGCUUGGUAUGGUAGCGAGAUCGAUGGAGGAUAUGGCCAUCCAGGGCCUGUACCUGGAGACUGGUGGGUAGCAGUUCAGUCUCAGUCUCCAGUUGAUGCACAAACUCCUCAUCGAGGAACUCCACGUCAGCUCCAGAGUCAACGAAAACUGCUAGAUCGUGUUCUUGGCUCUUGAUCUGAAAUCGUGCUUUUAGAAUUGGCUUGGGGGAGGCUAAGCACCAGAGGCUCGCUGCAGGCUCCUCCUUCAACGGGGAGCCCUGUCUUUUUUUGGACACAUGAAGGCAAAAUGUCCUGCCUUACCACAAUAAAGACAGAGGCCUGGCGCCGCUCCUUCUCUGCUGAGGAUAGGAGAUGCCAUCCUAUCUCCAUGGGCUGGGGAGGUGGCGGCGAGUAUAAUUUGCUAGGAUCAGCAUGGGGCUUGACAUACGGGUCUCUGGGAGGCAAGUAUGAUCUGCCAGGUUCUGAAUGAGACUUGGCAUACGAGGUUCUGGGAGGCCAGGAACGGGUUGGGUGUCCCUCCUCUCUUUGUUCCUGGAUUCAGCGAUCGAUCCUGGUUGCCAGACAAACCAGGUUGUCAAGCUCGUCUGGAAGUUCUAGGGCCACAAGUUCAUCCUUCACCUGGGGGGCUAGGCCGUGGUAGAACGCAUCGUAGAGGGCCCUGGGGUUCAAACAAAGCACAGAUGAAUGACUGACGUUCCCACUCUGCAGUAGCCCAGAUCUUGGCCUUACCAGAUAGCAGAGAUAACGUAUGCUACCUCAGACCAAUCCGAAGGGAAGGAGCAGGGUUGGAGCUCGAAGAUCACCGAGCACUGCAUCAGAAAUGCACAGCAAUGCCCUGCCUCUCCAGAGAAAUGCUCAGGGUGGGGCAGAUGUGGUUCUCGAAUGGGGUUUUGGUUAUGCUCAACCAUGGCUAGGGGGGCUGGGCAGGUGGCAUCGGAAAUGGCGAGGAGGCCUGUGCCGUGGUGAGCAUGCUCAUGCGUCGAAUGAGUUCAUUUGUGGAUUAGGCUAUCUCCUUGAGUUGGCGCACGUGCGCAGCGGAGGAUUUGGACAGGGAGUUGAGCUGUGACUGCAACUCCUGAGAUCCUGCUUGGGUUCAUUGUUGGUCAGAUGAUACUAUCAGAUGAUACUAAAAGCAAACAGAGGGAGGUGCUAUGGAGGAGAACCCAAGCACAGGCCAAUGUACAAAAUAAAAGAUCUUAAAUGAGUAAAUAUAUACAGUAUAUAUAGAGGACAUAACAGGGCAAAGUCUAGACUGAAACCUCAUACAGAAAACUGUAGCAGAGAAGACAAAACGUUGACAGGUGUUGGUCUUAAGUAAUCCAGACCGGCAAGUAAGUAAUCCAGACCGGCAAAAUCCACUAGGACAUAAACAGCAGCAAGGCAACAGCCAAUACUCAGACUGGAAGACAGAAGGAAUGACUCACA